ensembl:lncRNA PDK4-AS1 PDK4 antisense RNA 1
AUCACAGAAUGGCCUGGCACGGUGACCACGGAGUGCCCUGGCACCGGUGCCCGCGGCUGUGACGGAAAAAGGGUGGGAAGAACAGGGAAGAGGAAGCAGAAACAGGUUAUCUGUUCACUCUGAUGGUAGAGAAGACCUUAAAUGACCUGAUGGAGCUGAAAACCAUGGCGAGAACUUCCUGCCUUCGAUUUCUCACAAGCUCGGGCAUACCACGAGGCUUGGAGACUCAAAACCUGAAGAGCCUGCAAUCAGAUUUCUCCCUUACUAUUCCUGCUCAUUGUCUUCUGUGGACUAAUACUGAACAUGAAACUUUGCUUACAGUUUUGUGGCCUGUUCCUUUCCUCUGAUUGCUGAUCAUUGCAUGAAUUUCCUGAGAUUAUCACUGAAUAGGACCUUUCUUUUUCCUGUAUCCUCUACUACACACACUGAGUUCAAAUAGAAUUAUUUUACUUGGAAAACUCCAGGUUUUGCUAAGUUCCAGCCUUGGUUUGUGUAGCACUGGUUGGCUGCCUUAGACUAAUUUUUUGGGGGUGUCAGAUAGUAAAAGGAGCACAAUCAAGCACCAGGUCAUCUGAAAGACAAAUUUUAGACGUCACUUUCUUUUGUGAUUUUGUUGCUUAACCCAGUGCAGGGGCAGUCAAAGCUGUAUCACCAUUGCAUUCACUGUCUAGGUAAAAAUGGGAAAAUUCAGUCAGUUAUACUAAUAUUCCUUACUACUUGCAAUUUAUGUUCACUGGCCUAUUGGUAUGAGCAAUGCAUUGUACAUUACAUAUUUGGCAGUAAAAGGACAGAUACCCAGAUGUCAUACUAAAAUUUCUGCAUUUGUUUGAAAAUACUAGUUUAAGCAAUUACAUGUUAUGCAAGUGGUUAGUCCUUCCCUCUCCAGCUUGGCUGCCACCAGUAAUAAUGGAUCAUAACAUCUUCUCCUGUGUGAUCUGAUGCGGCCUUGGGAUUCGUCCCAACGCAGGACUCCAGAGAUCAGUGGAUCAGUGAAUUAUGUUUGGGAGAUGCAACCCCUGUUGUUACUGGGCUGGGGGCCCAAGCAGCUGCUGGUGGGGUGUUCUGCCCUGCAGCAGCACCCUACCUCCACCCUCCCCUUUACAUUUAGAAGAACUGUCCUUUAGUGAGACUGUCAAUGGAAAACAUGAAAAUCAUUCAUUUAAUCCAACAUUUUCAAUCGCAGAGGAAAAACAAGCAGAAGAGUUAAGUCACCAGAGUCAUACAGCUGGUAGGAAAAAUGGGUUCUCUAAAUCUCAGUUUAAACAGAAAUCCUUGUCACACUCUUCUGGGGAUUGAGAAGCGUAAGAUUUUUUUUUUUUUUUUUAAUUGCCUUUCUGAAACUUUAGAAGAAUACCUAUUUGCCCUGUUGGCCAAAACCAGGCAACUGUGUGAAACAGUUGAAUGCUAAAACAAACUAAACAGAUGCUGGAAACUCAACCGUUUGUUUCUUGAACAAAAUUGAUUUUACCUGAUGUCCUCUUGAGCUCAGUUAGACUUUGCCAGAGAGAAAA